rnacentral:rRNA from 1 species
CUACAUGAAGCUGGAAUUGCUAGUAAUCACAGGUCAGCAUACUGUGGUGAAUACGUUCCCGGGCCUUGUACACACCGCCCGUCACACCAUGAGAGUUGAGAAUACCCGAAGCCCAUGUCAAAGUGGUCGAAGGUAGGCUUGAUGAUUGGGUGAAGUCGUAACAAGGUACC